UAGGGAAUCUUCCACAAUGGACGCAAGUCUGAUGGAGCAACGCCGCGUGAGUGAAGAAGGUCUUCGGAUUGUAAAACUCUGUUGUUAGAGAAGAACACGAGUGAGAGUAACUGUUCAUUCGAUGACGGUAUCUAACCAGCAAGUCACGGCUAACUACGUGCCAC
rnacentral:rRNA from 1 species